rnacentral:rRNA from 1 species
UACGUAGGGAGCAAGCGUUGUCCGGAUUCACUGGGUGUAAAGCGUGCGCAGGCGGUUUUGUAAGCCAGAUGUGAAAUCCCCGGGCUCAACCUGGGAAUGGCAUUUGGGACUGCAAGGCUCGAGUGCGGCAGAGGAGACUGGAAUUCCUGGUGUAGCAGUGAAAUGCGUAGAUAUCAGGAGGAAUACCGAUGGCGAAGGCAGGUCUCUGGGCUGACACUGACGCUCAUGCACGAAAGCGUGGGGAGCAAACAGG